GGGGCGGUAGCUCAGUCGGUAGAGCAACGGCCUUUUAAGCCGUGGGUCCUGGGUUCGAGUCCCAGCCGCCUCACCA
rnacentral:tRNA from 1 species